GCCAAGCCUCUUUUUCUGCUAGAGUUUUUGCAAAUGCAUACCAAAGCUGCCAAAAUACCCAAAUGAAGAAAGUAAUAGAGAAAAAAAGCCUCAAGAUUUUGAUCGAUUGAAUUGAAUUGAUCUUCCUCUGCACAUGGAAUAGAACAGAGAAAGAGGGGUUGGUUCUUACGUUGUAGCGCUUGCAAUAGUCGGGAUCUGUCCAAUGCGAUUCAUUGAGAAGACAAAGUUGUUGGACAUCAUAACGAUAUCUAAUUGCAGAGCAGGAAGAGACUCCAAACUGGGGAAGGGAGGAGAAAUACAAAGCAAUGGAUGAGGUUAUAGUUCACAACCUGGGUUUCUAACGGUGGUGCGAACGUGAUGGCCAUUCUCGAGCAGUGUCUUGACCAAGUAAGAGGCUAUGAAGCCAGUGCCGCCAGUUACGCAGUACUCUGGCAUAUCGACUGGGUGUGGGUGGACGAUGGGUGUGUGCAAAGAAAGAGUUUAUACAGUCGUACUUGAGGACAUUGUUCAUGUGUGGGACACCUGCAGUUACGAUAUUGUUGAACUCAUUUACAAGAGUGGAAGAUGACUCAUCCAUUUUGUAAGGUUGAAGUUUUUUAAAAUAAACAUAAACUGUGCUUUCUUUGAUUUAUAGUCUUUUUGCCUUUUGUAUGGUGGGUGUGCUCGACGUCCUCCCUCUGCAGCUUGCUUUUUAAAGUGAUGUGGAGAGAAUAAGCACAAUAUUCAAUAAUAAACCCAAUACUGAAACCCUUAUCACGUGGAGUGUACUUGUAGCUGCACUAUAAAUUUGGUGUUGUUCUUUAUAAUAAGCCAUCCGAUCUUUACUUCGUUCGAGUUA